rnacentral:sRNA from 1 species
GGGAAGGGCCUUUCAGGCAUCCUCUCCUAAAAACUUUCAGGCCGGUCCCCAAGGAUCGGCCCUUUUUUUGCUUUGC